GCCCGCUUGGCUUAGUGGUACAGCGUCUCACUCGUAUGGCACCGGCGUUGCUUGGUGUACGACACGGUUAUGAGAAGAUCCUCGGUUCGAUUCCGAGAGUGGGCA